rnacentral:tRNA from 1 species
GGGGUCGUCGUCUAGAGGUUAAACCGGGCAACUUGGUUUAGGAUACCAGCCUGAAGCGCUGGCGAUCACGGGUUCAAAUCCCGUCGACCCCA